UACGUAGGGGGCAAGCGUUGUCCGGAUUUAUUGGGCGUAAAGAGCGUGUAGGCGGUUUGGUAGGUCCGCUGUGAAAACUCGAGCUCAACCUCGAGACGCCGGUGGAAACCAUCAGACUAGAGUCCGGAAGAGGAGAGUGGAAUUCCUGGUGUAGCGGUGAAAUGCGCAGAUAUCAGGAAGAACACCAAUGGCGAAGGCAGCUCUCUGGGACGGUACUGACACUGAGACGCGAAAAGCGUGGGGGAGCGAACAGG
rnacentral:rRNA from 1 species